UACGGAGGAUGCAAGCGUUAUCCGGAAUGAUUGGGCGUAAAGCGUCCGCAGGUGGCACUGAAAGUCUGCUGUCAAAGGGUCUGGCUUAACCAGAUAAAGGCAGUGGAAACUACAGAGCUAGAGUACGUUCGGGGCAGAGGGAAUUCCUGGUGUAGCGGUGAAAUGCGUAGAGAUCAGGAAGAACACCGGUGGCGAAAGCGCUCUACUAGGCCAUCACUGACACUGAGGGACGAAAGCUAGGGGAGCGAAUGGG
rnacentral:rRNA from 1 species